UCAUGAUCUGGUUGUAGGAUUUGAGUUAGGUUAUUUGUACCCUUCAUAUCUGUUCCUUGGGUGUCAAAUUGGCACCUCCGACUAGAACCCCCAACACAUACAAAGUACCUUUUAGCUGUAAACUUACUGUAAUUUCAUUAUUUAAUUUUCAUUGUUUCUUGUUAAUCAUCCUAUCAGAUGUCUUUUAAAAGAGAAAUAGAGCGAAAGUAGGUGUAGAAGAGGAAGACUGAUGUUUGGAAUGCUGGCUCUCUGGGCUAUUCUAGUUUUCACAAUAUCUUCCAUAGUUCUUAAAUUCUAGUACCCUGGAUAUGUGUUAUAGAUGCUAUUCAGCUUUAUUAAUGCUCUCAAAAUAACAAGAAAGGCAGAAUACAGUGUUUCUGAUUCUUCAUUAUAUAGGAAAACAGGAGGUAAAUAUAAAUAAAAUGAAAUAGGUAUUAUAAUGGAAAACAGUUUUUGAAAGGAGUCCUAGAGCUUAUACUAAAGAAUCUUUUCAGGACAAAAGUUAAUUAUUGUUUUAGCUCUUAUAACUGAUCUAAGCAGGAGGUUUGUAAUCUGGGUGAAGUAAAAGGAGCAAGAGAUGUGAGCAUUGAGGGUGUACUGUUUCUAGCUCCUGGAGGCAGAUAGCUGAGGCAGCAGGAGGAGGUCACCUCAACUUCCCUUUUAUUAGGUUACUUGCCUUGCAAAAGGGGUCAUUUCUGCAGCUUGGUGAGCUCCUGGGUCCUCUGAACACCAUGGACUUAACUUUUUGCUGUAGAAGGUAGAAGGGAGCUUGCUCUAUUACUGUACAUUCUCUUGACUUUGGCUAGCAGAAGCAGGAAGUAGAGAAAGUGUCAGAUGCUUAGGGCUGGCCUUGAGUGUUAGUAUAGAUAUAUAAGUAGGUAUUUGGAAA
rnacentral:lncRNA from 1 species